rnacentral:rRNA from 1 species
GAUGAACGCUGACAGAAUGCUUAACACAUGCAAGUCUUUGCCGAAUCUGUGCUUGCACAGGCUAGCCAAGGCGGACGGGUGAGUAACGCGUAAAGAACUUGCCCUGCAGACAGGGAUAACAGACGGAAACGACUGAUAACACCUGAUACAGUUGCCGGCACGCAUGUGCCUGGCAAUGAAAAGAGAUGCUGCAGGAGAGCUUUGCGUCCUAUUAGCUUGUUGGUGAGGUGACGGCUCACCAAGGCGAUGAUAGGUAGCCGGCCUGAGAGGGUGAACGGCCACAAGGGGACUGAGAUACGGCCCUUACGCCUACGGGAGGCAGCAGUGGGGAAUAUUGGACAAUGGGGGCAACCCUGAUCCAGCAAUUCUGUGUGCACGAAGAAGGUUUUCGGAUUGUAAAGUGCUUUCAGCAGGGAAGAAGAAAGUGACGGUACCUGCAGAAGAAGCGACGGCUAAAUACGUG